CUCUAUAUAUAACCAGGUAAAGCCACUUGCUGCGUUCGGGAUUGAUUAAUGAAUGAAGCAUUGACCCAUAGAUAUAUGUAUAUGGAAUAUGAAACUACUAUCCAUGUCCAGGGAUUUCAAUGAAGUUCAGGUCUCGAAAUCAACACAUUUGAAUGCUUGAAGCCAAGCCUCCUAAGCAGGACUUGCAUGAAGAGACGCAGAGAGUGUAGCACAGCCAAGGAUGACUUGCCGGCCGGCCGGCCGGCCGCCACCGUUACCCGAAAGAGCCACCCUUCCUGACAUUUUUUCCGGCAAGUGACCCUUGGCUAUGCUGGGCUCUCUUCUUCUCUUGCAAGUCCUCCAUUUACGAACGGACGUUCUAUAUCAGGAUUGGAGCUCCGAUCGAUUGUGCAGAAAUAAUGGGCUGAAUUUGACUUGCUGAACACCGGUGAAAGGUUACUUGCCGACCUAAUUAAUUGAGAAGGACACCUGAAUUUCAAGUACACGUACAUGGUCAAAGGGAUAGGAUGGGCAAGUGGCUUGGAAACUGACUUUACGCAAAGUGAUGAAGCAGAUAGACACAAAUUCAAAUAAAAUUAGUUUUUAUUUCUAUUUCUCCGUUUUCUUUGACUUGUGAGUGAAGUUUUUGUCAAGAUUUCAAACCUUACACAAGAGUGCUUUAAUGCUGAACAGCAUUUACUAAUGUGGAUUGGUCCCAUUAAAAAAAGGUUAUAAUCGCUUAUGCA